CGACGUGAGGGACCUGCCUUGAAGAGGGGGACAACAGUUGGAAACGACUGCUAAUACCGCAUGACGCAUAGAGGUCGCAUGAUCUUUAUGCCAAAGAUUUAUCGCUUCAAGAUGGCCUCGCGCCUGAUUAGCUAGUUGGCGGGGUAACGGCCCACCAAGGCGACGAUCAGUAGCCGGACUGAGAGGUUGAACGGCCACAUUGGGACUGAGAUACGGCCCAG
rnacentral:rRNA from 1 species